rnacentral:rRNA from 1 species
GACGAACGCUGGCGGCGUGCCUAAUACAUGCAAGUCGAACGCUGAAGAGAGGAGCUUACUCUUCUUGGAUGAGUUGCGAACGGGUGAGUAACGCGUAGGUAACCUGCCUUGUAGCGGGGGAUAACUAUUGGAAACGAUAGCUAAUACCGCAUAACAAUGGAUGACACAUGUCAUUUAUUUGAAAGGGGCAAUUGCUCCACUACAAGAUGGACCUGCGUUGUAUUAGCUAGUAGGUGAGGUAAUGGCUCACCUAGGCGACGAUACAUAGCCGACCUGAGAGGGUGAGCGGCCACACUGGGACUGAGACACGGCCCAGACGCCCUCGGGAGGGAGCAGGAGGGAAUCGUCGGGAAGGGGGGCAAACCUGAGCGAGCAACGCCGAGUGAGGGAAGAAGGUUGUCGGAUCGUAAAGCUCGGUUGUAAGUCAAGAACGGGUGUGAGAGUGGAAAGUUCACACUGUGACGGUAGCUUACCAGAAAGGGACGGCUAACUACGUG